GCCGGGCGGCGCCCUGACCCGGCACGGAGGCGGAAUGGAGGAGCAGGGGGGGAACGUGGCGCCCCACUGAGGCGUGUGGGAGAGAUAAAGGGAGGAGCAGGGGGGGAACAUGGCGCCCCACUGAGGCGUGUGGGAGAGAUAAAGGGAGGAGCAGGGGGGGAACAUGGCGCCCCACUGAGGCGUGUGGGAGAGAUAAAGGGAGGAGCAGGGGGGGAACGUGGCGCCCCACUGAGGCGUGUGGGAGAGAUAAAGGGGGGAGCGUGGGAGACAUGGCAUCCCUUUUGGGGACACCUGGGACGUGUGGGACAGACAAAGGAGGAUGCAAUAAAAACAAACUAAUUUCUUGAAGGGAUCAUAAGUAUGAAUAUUCAUAAAAAACUUAAGACAGAAGCCAUGGUAAUUUCUUCCACAAGUUUUCAUUUGAAGGAGAUAAACCCGAAGACCUGUAAUACCUGACGCUGUAUACGUGCAACAGCUACAGGAGGAUCAGCUGGAACGUUUCAAGAAAGAAUUUCCAGAGUGGAAAAGCCGUGUGUUCCACAGUCAGCCAUUUAAAUCCAUAUCUCCACGUAAAUGUCAUGUAGUUGCCUGGAAGAGAAAUCUAUAGAUAACUUGAAGAGUGUUCAAAUGCAGAAGGAUUAAUUGUAGGUGGAAUGCUGGUUUGUAUCUGUUUAACUUUCACCAUUGGAACAGUUCUGUCUGUGCCUUCUGGUUGGUUCAUUUUAUUUUUAAGUCCCCAAAUAGCAAUAACUGUGUUCCUGAGAGUAGUUAUUAAAAUUUCAAACACUG